rnacentral:rRNA from 1 species
CCCGGCCUACGGGAGGCAGCAGUGAGGAAUAUUGGUCAAUGGGCUUACGCCUGAGCCAGCCAAGUCGCGUGAGGGAAGACUGCCCUAUGGGUUGUAAACCUCUUUUGUCAGGGAGCGAUUGGCGCUACGUGUAGCGUUAUCGAGAGUACCUGAAGAAAAAGCAUCGGCUAACUCCGUGCCAGCAGCCGCGGUAAUACGGAGGAUGCGAGCGUUAUCCGGAUUUAUUGGGUUUAAAGGGUGCGUAGGCGGAAUGCCAAGUCAGCGG